rnacentral:rRNA from 1 species
GAUGAACGCUGGCGGCAGGCUUAACACAUGCAAGUCGAACGGGUGUAGCAAUACAUCAGUGGCAGACGGGUGAGUAACACGUGGGAACCUUCCUAGGGGUACGGAACAACUCAGGGAAACUUGAGCUAAUACCGUAUACGUCCGUAAGGAGAAAGAUUUAUCGCCCUUAGACGGGCCCGCGUCGGAUUAGCUAGUUGGUGGGGUAACGGCCUACCAAGGCGACGAUCCGUAGCUGGUCUGAGAGGAUGAUCAGCCACACUGGGACUGAGACACGGCCCAGACUCCUACGGGAGGCAGCAGUGGGGAAUAUUGGACAAUGGGCGAAAGCCUGAUCCAGCAAUGCCGCGUGAGUGAAGAAGG